GAGUUUGAUCCUGGCUCAGAUUGAACGCUGGCGGCAGGCUUAACACAUGCAAGUCGAACGGUAACAUGAGUGCUUGCACUUGAUGACGAGUGGCGGACGGGUGAGUAAUGUAUGGGGAUCUGCCGAAUGGAGGGGGACAACAGUUGGAAACGACUGCUAAUACCGCAUAAUGUUGAGAAACCAAAGCAUGGGACCUUCGGGCCAUGCGCCAUUUGAUGAACCCAUAUGGGAUUAGCUAGUUGGUAGGGUAAAGGCUUACCAAGGCGACGAUCUCUAGCUGUCUGAGAGGAUGACCAGCCACACUGGAACUGAGACACGGUCCAGACUCCUACGGGAGGCAGCAGUGGGGAAUAUUGCACAAUGGGGGAAACCCUGAUGCAGCCAUGCCGCGUGUAUGAAGAAGGCCUUCGGGUUGUAAAGUACUUUCGGUAAUGAGGAAGGUGGUGUAUCUAAUAGGUGCAUCAAUUGACGUUAAUUACAGAAGAAGCACCGGCUAACUCCGUGCCAGCAGCCGCGGUAAUACGGAGGGUGCGAGCGUUAAUCGGAAUGACUGGGCGUAAAGGGCAUGUAGGCGGAUAAUUAAGUUAGGUGUGAAAGCCCUGGGCUCAACCUAGGAAUUGCACUUAAAACUGGUUAACUAGAGUAUUGUAGAGGAAGGUAGAAUUCCACGUGUAGCGGUGAAAUGCGUAGAGAUGUGGAGGAAUACCGGUGGCGAAGGCGGCCUUCUGGACAGAUACUGACGCUGAGAUGCGAAAGCGUGGGGAGCAAACAGGAUUAGAUACCCUGGUAGUCCACGCUGUAAACGAUGUCGAUUUGGAGUUUGUUGCCUAGAGUGAUGGGCUCCGAAGCUAACGCGAUAAAUCGACCGCCUGGGGAGUACGGCCGCAAGGUUAAAACUCAAAUGAAUUGACGGGGGCCCGCACAAGCGGUGGAGCAUGUGGUUUAAUUCGAUGCAACGCGAAGAACCUUACCUGGUCUUGACAUCCACAGAAUCUUGCAGAGAUGCGAGAGUGCCUUCGGGAACUGUGAGACAGGUGCUGCAUGGCUGUCGUCAGCUCGUGUUGUGAAAUGUUGGGUUAAGUCCCGCAACGAGCGCAACCCUUAUCCUUUGUUGCCAGCGAUUCGGUCGGGAACUCAAAGGAGACUGCCGUUGAUAAAGCGGAGGAAGGUGGGGACGACGUCAAGUCAUCAUGGCCCUUACGACCAGGGCUACACACGUGCUACAAUGGCGUAUACAAAGGGAGGCGA
rnacentral:rRNA from 1 species